rnacentral:rRNA from 1 species
AUACCUGUUGCUUCGGCGGCGCCCGCGAGGGCGCCCGCCNNNNNCAUCAGAAUCUCUGUUUUCGAACCCGACGAUACUUCUGAGUGUUCUUAGCGAACUGUCAAAACUUUUAACAACGGAUCUCUUGGCUCCAGCAUCGAUGAAGAACGCAGCGAAACGCGAUAUGUAAUGUGAAUUGCAGAAUUCAGUGAAUCAUCGAAUCUUUGAACGCACAUGGCGCCUUCCAGUAUCCUGGGAGGCAUGCCUGUCCGAGCGUCGUUUCAACCCUCGAGCCCCCGUGGCCCGGCGUUGGGGAUCUGCCACGGCAGGCCCCUAAAACCAGUGGCGGACCCGCUGGGCCCUCUCCUUUGCGCAGUAGCAUCAGCCUCGCAUCGGGAGCCCUCGGCGUCCUGCCUCUAAACCCCCCACAAGCCCGCUCCGGCGGCACCAAGGUUGACCUCGGAUCAGGUAGGAAUACCCGCUGAACUUAAGCAUAUCAAUAAGCGGAG